rnacentral:rRNA from 1 species
CAGUCGCCACGGUAACACGUAGGGUGCAAGCGUUAAUCGGAAUUACUGGGCGUAAAGCGUGCGCAGGCGGUGUUGUAAGACUGAUGUGAAAUCCCCGGGCUCAACCUGGGAACUGCAUUGGUGACUGCAGCGCUGGAGUGCGGCAGAGGGGGAUGGAAUUCCGCGUGUAGCAGUGAAAUGCGUAGAUAUGCGGAGGAACACCGAUGGCGAAGGCAAUCCCCUGGGCCUGCACUGACGCUCAUGCACGAAAGCGUGGGGAGCAAACAGGAUUAGAUACCCCCGUAGUCCCUGUCUCUUAUAC